UUUAAAUGAAUUAAAAUUCCCGGUUAGAAUAUUCUCAGAAAAACAAACAAAUCAAGAUCAUUCGAGAAAAGUUGUCUUAGACUUGAAGCUGUUAGAAAUUUCCAUUUUAUUCAUGAAUAAAAAUUGUCUCCAGAUUGGAAGUCACUCGAACAGCAGCAAAGAAUAGUCUUCGCUUCAUGGAAAGAAGACAACUCCGAAGAAAAUACGUUUCCAGUAGGAAGACCUCAUAUCCAAAACAGGUUCUCUUCUCCUAACUAGAAGAUCUUUAACAGUGUGUAGACGAGAAUACUUCUGAUGAUGUGAAGAACGACAUUUGAUGGCGUUACUAGAUGAAACGUUAGACACUAACUAUUUGCUUCAAUAGUAUUUGAAUUUACAGAAGGAUAUCAAACAUUAUUGAGGUGCCUUUCUCAGGGGGAGGGAGUCCCCAUGGG
rnacentral:lncRNA from 1 species